rnacentral:rRNA from 1 species
GAGUUUGAUCGUGGCUCAGAGCGAACGCUGGCGGCAGGCCUAACACAUGCAAGUCGAGCGCCCCGCAAGGGGAGCGGCAGACGGGAGAGUAACACGUGGGAACGUACCCUUCAGUACGGAACAACCAAGGGAAACUUUGGCUAAUACCGUAUACGUCCGUAAGGAGAAAGAUUUAUCGCUGAAGGAUCGGCCCGCGUCUGAUUAGCUAGUUGGUGAGGUAACGGCUCACCAAGGCGACGAUCAGUAGCUGGUCUGAGAGGAUGAUCAGCCUCACUGGGACUGAGACACGGCCCAGACUCCUACGGGAGGCAGCAGUGGGGAAUAUUGGACAAUGGGCGCAAGCCUGACCCAGCCAUGCCGCGUGGGUGAUGAAGGCCCUAGGGUUGUAAGCCCUUUCGGCGGGAAGAUAAUGACGGUACCCGCAGAAGAAGCCCCGGCUAACUUCGUGCCAGCAGCCGCCGCCAGUAAG